rnacentral:rRNA from 1 species
GAAAGGCGGCUUUGUUGUCACUUAUAGAUGGAUCCGCGCCGUAUUAGCUAGUUGGUAAGGUAACGGCUUACCAAGGCAACGAUACGUAGCCGACCUGAGAGGGUGAUCGGCCACACUGGAACUGAGACACGGUCCAGACUCCUACGGGAGGCAGCAGUAGGGAAUCUUCCGCAAUGGGCGAAAGCCUGACGGAGCAACGCCGCGUGAGUGAUGAAGGUCUUCGGAUCGUAAAACUCUGUUAUCAGGGAAGAACAAAUGUGUAAGUAACUGUGCACAUCUUGACGGUACCUGAUCAGAAAGCCACGGCUAACUACGUGCCAGCAGCCGCGGUAAUACGUAGGUGGCAAGCGUUAUCCGGAAUUAUUGGGCGUAAAGCGCGCGUAGGCGGUUUUUUAAGUCUGAUGUGAAAGCCCACGGCUCAACCGUGGAGGGUCAUUGGAAACUGGAAAACUUGAGUGCAGAAGAGGAAAGUGGAAUUCCAUGUGUAGCGGUGAAAUGCGCAGAGAUAUGGAGGAACACCAGUGGCGAAGGCGACUUUCUGGUCUGUAACUGACGCUGAUGUGCGAAAGCGUGGGGAUCAAACAGGAUUAGAUACCCUGGUAGUCCACGCCGUAAACGAUGAGUGCUAAGUGUUAGGGGGUUUCCGCCCCUUAGUGCUGC